rnacentral:rRNA from 1 species
GACGAACCGUGCAAACGUUAUUCGGAAUCACUGGGCAUAAAGGGCGCGUAGGCGGCUUUCUAAGUCAGGGGUGAAAUCCGGCAGCUCAACUGUCGCAGUGCCUUUGAUACUGGAGAGCUCGAGGGAGGUAGGGGUCUGUGGAACUUCCGGUGGAGCGGUGAAAUGCGUUGAUAUCGGAAGGAACGCCGGUGGCGAAAGCGACGGACUGGAUCUCUUCUGACGCUGAGGCGCGAAAGCGUGGGGAGCAACAGG